GGAAUAUUGGACAAUGGGUGCAAGCCUGAUCCAGCCAUGCCGCGUGUGUGAAGAAGGCCUUCGGGUUGUAAAGCACUUUCAGCGAGGAGGAAGGGGUUGUUGUUAAUAGCAACAAUUUUUGACGUUACUCGCAGCAGAAGCAACGGCUCACUCCGUUCCAGCAGCCGCGGUAAGACGGAGGGUGCAAGCGUUAAUCGGAAUUACUGGGCGUAAAGCGCACGCAGGCGGCUUUUUAAGUCGGAUGUGAAAGCCCCGGGCUCAACCUGGGAAUUGCAUUCGAUACUGGGAAGCUAGAGUAUGUGAGAGGGGCGUAGAAUUCCAAGUGUAGCGGUGAAAUGCGUAGAGAUUUGGAGGAAUACCAGUGGCGAAGGCGGCCCCCUGGCACAAUACUGACGCUCAGGUGCGAAAGCGUGGGGAGC
rnacentral:rRNA from 1 species